CCCUUAGAUGUUCUGGGCCGCACGCGCGCUACACUGAUGCAUUCAACGAGUCUAAAACCUGCUCUGAUAGGGGUGGGUAAUCUUUUGAAUGUGCAUCGUGAUUGGGAUAGAUGAUUGCAAUUUUUCAUCUUCAACGAGGAAUGCCUAGUAAACGCAAGUCAUCAGCUUGCAUUGAUUACGUCCCUGCCCUUUGUACACACCGCCCGUCGCUACUACUGAUUGGAUGUUUAAGCGAGGUUCUCGAACUGCUAGCGACUUAGCUUCGGUGAGGUCGCAGUGUGGGAAGUGAACCUAGCUUUGGUGUCUAGAGGAAGUAAAAGUCGUAACA
rnacentral:rRNA from 1 species